rnacentral:tRNA from 1 species
GCCUCUUUAGCUUAGUGGCAAAGCAGCGGUUUUGUAAACCGUCGACCGCAGUUCGAUUCUGCGAAGGGGCU